ACUCCUACGGGAGGCAGCAGUAGGGAAUAUUGGUCAAUGGGUGAGAGCCUGAACCAGCCAUGCCGCGUGCAGGAAGACGGCCUUCUGGGUUGUAAACUGCUUUUACCAGGGAUGAAAAGAAUCUUGCGAGAUUAAUUGAAGGUACCUGGAGAAUAAGCACCGGCUAACUACGUGCCAGCAGCCGCGGUAAUACGUAGGGUGCAAGCGUUGUCCGGAUUUAUUGGGUUUAAAGGGUGCGUAGGCGGGCUAUUAAGUCAGUGGUGAAAUCCAGCAGCUUAACUGUUGAUGUGCCAUUGAUACUGGUAGUCUUGAGUACAGAUGAGGUAGGCGGAAUUGACAGUGUAGCGGUGAAAUGCAUAGAUAUUGUCAAGAACUCCGAUAGCGAAGGCAGCUUACUGGGCUGUAACUGACGCUGAUGCACGAAAGUGUGGGGAUCAAACAGGAUUAGAUACCCUGGUAGACUGUCAU
rnacentral:rRNA from 1 species